rnacentral:rRNA from 1 species
AGAGUUUGAUCCUGGCUCAGGACGAACGCUGGCGGCGUGCCUAACACAUGCAAGUCGAACGAAACUUUUUGCUUCGGUAGAAAGUUUAGUGGCGGACGGGUGAGUAACGCGUGAGGAACCUGCCUUUCAGAGGGGGAUAAUGUCUGGAAACGGACACUAAUACCGCAUGACAUUUUCUGUUCACAUGGACAGAAAAUCAAAGGAGCAAUCUGCUGAAAGAUGGACUCGCGUCCGAUUAGCUAGAUGGUGAGAUAAUAGCCCACCAUGGCGACGAUCGGUAGCCGGACUGAGAGGUUGAACGGCCACAUUGGGACUGAGACACGGCCCAGACUCCUACGGGAGGCAGCAGUGGGGGAUAUUGCACAAUGGAGGAAACUCUGAUGCAGCAACGCCGCGUGAAGGAAGACGGUCUUCGGAUUGUAAACUUUUGUACCUAGGGACGAUAAUGACGGUACCUAGGCAGCAAGCUCCGGCUAACUACGUGCCAGCAGCCGCGGUAAUACGUAGGGAGCGAGCGUUGUCCGGAUUUACUGGGUGUAAAGGGUGCGUAGGCGGCCAAGCAAGUCAGCUGUGAAAACUAUGGGCUUAACCCAUAGCCUGCAAUUGAAACUGUUUGGCUUGAGUGAAGUAGAGGUAGGUGGAAUUCCCGGUGUAGCGGUGAAAUGCGUAGAGAUCGGGAGGAACACCAGUGGCGAAGGCGACCUACUGGGCUUUAACUGACGCUGAAGCACGAAAGCAUGGGUAGCAAACAGGAUUAGAUACCCUGGUAGUCCAUGCU